GACGAACGCUGGCGGCGUGCCUAAUACAUGCAAGUAGAACGCUGAAGGAGGAGCUUGCUCUUCUGGAUGAGUUGCGAACGGGUGAGUAACGCGUAGGUAACCUGCCUGGUAGCGGGGGAUAACUAUUGGAAACGAUAGCUAAUACCGCAUAAGAGUAGAUGUUGCAUGACAUUUGCUUAAAAGGUGCAAUUGCAUCACUACCAGAUGGACCUGCGUUGUAUUAGCUAGUUGGUGGGGUAACGGCUCACCAAGGCGACGAUACAUAGCCGACCUGAGAGGGGGAUCGGCCACACUGGGACUGGGACACGGCCCAGACUCCUACGGGAGGCAGCAGUAGGGAAUCUUCGGCAAUGGACGGAAGUCUGACCGAGCAACGCCGCGGGAGUGAAGAAGGGUUUCGGAUCGUAAAGCUCUGUUGUAAGAGAAGAACGAGUGUGAGAGUGGAAAGUUCACACUGUGACGGUAUCUUACCAGAAAGGGACGGCUAACUACGUG
rnacentral:rRNA from 1 species